rnacentral:rRNA from 1 species
UGCCUAACAGCUAGCCCACCCAAACAAUUUCAACAAACCCCUGUUAAUAACCCCUAAGUACCCCAGUAUUUAUUUUAAACAAACCAUUUUUCCCCCCUAGUAUAGGCGAUAGAAAAGGGCCCACGGCGCAAUAGAGAAAGUACCGCAAGGGAACGCUGAAAGAGAAGUGAAACAACCCAGUAAAGCCUAAAAAAGCAGAGAUCUAAACUCGUACCUUUUGCAUCAUGAUUUAGCAAGUGUAACCCAAGCAAAGCGUACUUUAGUUUGACGUCCCGAAACUAGGUGAGCUACUCCAAGACAGCCUAUCAAUAGGGCGUACCCGUCUCUGUGGCAAAAGAGUGGGGAGAGCUUUGAGUAGAGGUGACAAACCUACCGAACCUAGUUAUAGCUGGUUGUCCAAGAAAUGAAUAGAAGUUCAGCCUUUCAGCUUCUCUUUUCACCUUAGUCUGACCCCUAUUGAUGCAUUAAAGAAACCGAAAGAGUUAGUCAAAGGGGGUACAGCCCCUUUGAAUCAAGACACAACUUUACCAGGAGGGUAAAGAUCAUAAUAAUUAAAGCUAAAUGUUUGGGUGGGCCUAAAAGCAGCCAUCCCCUUAGAAAGCGUUAAAGCUCAGACAUGCGACUAUCCUUCUUAUCCUGAUCACUCAAUCUUACCCCCCUAACCGUACUGGACCAUCCCAUGCCAACAUGGGAGUGACUAUGCUGAAAUGAGUAAUAAGAGAGCUACCGGCUCUCUCCCUGCACACGUGUAUAUCGGAACGGACAACCCACCGAACCUUAACGGCCCCAAAUAAAGAGGGCAGUGGAUGUUAGACCAAAAAACUAGAAAAGUAUCCAAAAACCAACCGUUAAACCCACACAGGUGUGCCCCCAGGGAAAGACUAAA